rnacentral:rRNA from 1 species
GACGAGGGAUCCUAGCGUUGCUCGGAAUUAUUGGGCGUAAAGCGGGUGUAGGUGGCUUGGUAAGUCGGGUGUGAAAGCCCAGGGCUCAACCCUGGAAGUGCAUUCGAUACUACUGAGCUUGAGUGCGAGAGAGGUUAAUAGAAUACCUGGUGUAGUGGUGAAAUACGUAGAUAUCAGGUGGAACACCGGAGGCGAAGGCGGUUAACUGGCUCGACACUGACACUGAGACCCGAAAGUGCGGGGAUCAAACAGG